AAGAGCGCUCAUGGAAUUUGGAUUGGCUGGAGUAAUUAGUGCUACUGUCAAGUGCCAACAACAUUCAGGUUAAUAUUGUACUUAGCAGCCGGAACAUGGCCACGAUCGAAUCCUCAUUUCGGAAAUGUCGUUUCCAGGACAUUUAGGUUCCCAUUCCGCAUAUACUAGUAAAAAAACAUUACAAAGCACUACCUCUAUCCCAAAAAGAAUAUAAUUACUGUUACGUGCCAUAUAAAAUAGUUCA
rnacentral:lncRNA from 1 species